UUUUAUUUGUCUUAUUCACCCUAAAAGUUCAGAUUAUUUACGAAAAUACCAUUAUUUCUUUUUUUCUUCUUUUUUCCAAAAUGAGUGUUUUACUUUAUCAUCUUCAUCUUCAUCAAAUAUUUAUAAUAUUGCCAUUGCCAUCAAUAUACCAACCCACCAUAAACAACCAAUUUGAAGCUCUUAAUGCCCCAAAGUUUCGAUUUUCACUCUUCAUAUCUCAUUACUUAUUC
rnacentral:lncRNA from 1 species